rnacentral:rRNA from 1 species
GAUGAACGCUGGCGGCGUGCCUAAUACAUGCAAGUCGAGCGAACGGACGAGAAGCUUGCUUCUCUGAUGUUAGCGGCGGACGGGUGAGUAACACGUGGAUAACCUACCUAUAAGACUGGGAUAACUUCGGGAAACCGGAGCUAAUACCGGAUAAUAUUUUGAACCGCAUGGUUCAAAAGUGAAAGACGGUCUUGCUGUCACUUAUAGAUGGAUCCGCGCUGCAUUAGCUAGUUGGUAAGGUAACGGCUUACCAAGGCAACGAUGCAUAGCCGACCUGAGAGGGUGAUCGGCCACACUGGAACUGAGACACGGUCCAGACUCCUACGGGAGGCAGCAGUAGGGAAUCUUCCGCAAUGGGCGAAAGCCUGACGGAGCAACGCCGCGUGAGUGAUGAAGGUCUUCGGACCGUAAAACUCUGUUAUUAGGGAAGAACAUAUGUGUAAGUAACUGUGCACAUCUUGACGGUACCUAAUCAGAAAGCCGCGGCUAACUACGUG